GCUGGGCGUGGUGGUGGACGCCUGUAAUCCCAGCUACUUGGGAGGCUGAGGCAGGAGAAUUGCUUGAACCCAGGAGGCGGAGGUUGCAGUGAGCUGAGAGUGUGCCAUUGCACUCCAGCCUGGGCGACAGAGCAAGACUCUGUCUCAA
ensembl:misc_RNA Metazoa_SRP Metazoan signal recognition particle RNA